rnacentral:rRNA from 1 species
UGGGGAAUAUUGCACAAUGGGCGCAAGCCUGAUGCAGCCAUGCCGCGUGUGUGAAGAAGGCCUUCGGGUUGUAAAGCACUUUCAGCGGGGAGGAAGGCGGUGAGGUUAAUAACCUCAUCGAUUGACGUUACCCGCAGAAGAAGCACCGGCUAACUCCGUGCCAGCAGCCGCGGUAAUACGGAGGGUGCAAGCGUUAAUCGGAAUUACUGGGCGUAAAGCGCACGCAGGCGGUCUGUCAAGUCGGAUGUGAAAUCCCCGGGCUCAACCUGGGAACUGCAUUCGAAACUGGCAGGCUAGAGUCUCGUAGAGGGGGGUAGAAUUCCAGGUGUAGCGGUGAAAUGCGUAGAGAUCUGGAGGAAUACCGGUGGCGAAGGCGGCCCCCUCGACGAAGACUGACGCUCAGGUGCGAAAGCGUGGGGAGCAAACAGG